GACGAACGCUGGCGGCGUGCUUAACACAUGCAAGUCGAACGAUGAACCGGGUGCUUGCACCUGGGGAUUAGUGGCGAACGGGUGAGUAACACGUGAGUAACCUGCCCUGGACUCUGGGAUAACCACGAGAAAUCGGAGCUAAUACCGGAUAGGACCUUUACUCGCAUGAGGUUUGGUGGAAAGUUUUUCGGUCUGGGAUGGGCUCGCGGCCUAUCAGCUGGUUGGUGAGGUAAUGUCUCACCAAGGCGUCGACGGGUAGCCGGCCAGAGAGGGGCACCGGCCACACUGGGACUGAGACACGGCCCAGACUCCUACGGGAGGCAGCAGUGGGGAAUAUUGCACAAUGGGCGCAAGCCUGAUGCAGCAACGCCGCGUGCGGGAUGACGGCCUUCGGGUUGUAAACCGCUUUUAGUAGGGAAGAAGGGCUUCGGCUUGACGGCACCUGCAGAAAAAGCACCGGCUAACUCUGUGCCAGCAGCCGCCGUAAAAC
rnacentral:rRNA from 1 species